rnacentral:rRNA from 1 species
GGGCCCGCACAAGCGGUGGAGCAUGUGGUUUAAUUCGAAGCAACGCGAAGAACCUUACCAGUCCUUGACAUGGGUAGUUUGGAUUUUGGAGACAAUCUCCUUCAGUUCGGCUGGCUACCACACAGGUGCUGCACGGCUGUCGUCAGCUCGUGUCGUGAGAUGUUGGGUUAAGUCCCGCAACGAGCGCAACCCUCAUCUUUAGUUGCCAUCAGUUCGGCUGGGCACUCUAGAGAAACUGCCUGCGAUGAGCAGGAGGAAGGUGGGGACGACGUCAAGUCAUCAUGGCCCUUACGGCCUGGGCUACACACGUGCUACAAUGGCUAGGACAGACGGCCGCAAACCCGCGAGGGGGAGCCAAUCCGACAAACCUAGUCGUAGUCCGGAUCGGAGUCUGCAACUCGACUCCGUGAAGUCGGAAUU